UCGGAAGAGCAGUCGGGUGCUCUAACCCACGCAGGCUUUUCUGCGUUGUGUAAGAAAACAGUCACGGAAGCCAUGGUCGUCUCCUUCCUGACUUCCACAUUCUGUAGAAGACACCUGUUAGCCACGAGUGCCUGAGUGUGUGGAUGCUGCCCUGGCCCCAUUCUCAACGGGUAUCAUGGAUUGAGUGGUCACUCUUGAGAGCACUGGCUCCCACGGCCGGCUGCAGGGAACAACGCUGCGUGAGCUCGUUUGCCUACUUCCAGCAAUUUGGCUCCCAGGAAGGAGAUGAAGUAGCUAUUUG
rnacentral:lncRNA from 1 species